AGUGAACGCUGGCGGUAGGCCUAACACAUGCAAGUCGAACGGCAGCACAGUAAGAGCUUGCUCUUACGGGUGGCGAGUGGCGGACGGGUGAGGAAUACAUCGGAAUCUACUUUUUCGUGGGGGAUAACGUAGGGAAACUUACGCUAAUACCGCAUACGACCUACGGGUGAAAGCAGGGGAUCUUCGGACCUUGCGCGAUUGAAUGAGCCGAUGUCGGAUUAGCUAGUUGGCGGGGUAAAGGCCCACCAAGGCGACGAUCCGUAGCUGGUCUGAGAGGAUGAUCGGCCACACUGGAACUGAGACACGGUCCAGACUCCUACGGGAGGCAGCAGUGGGGAAUAUUGGACAAUGGGCGCAAGCCUGAUACAGCCAUACCGAGUGGGUGAAGAAGGCCUUCGGGUUGUAAAGCCCUUUUGUUGGGAAAGAAAAGCAGCAGGUUAAUACCCAGCUGUUCUGACGGUACCCAAAGAAUAAGCACCGGCUAACUUCGUG
rnacentral:rRNA from 1 species